AAAACAAACUAUGAAGUCCACCAAGUUGCACGCGGAACUCAUCAUUCACUGAAGCUGAUGGAGCGUACCGAGUAGAGGUGCACAGCUAUUUGUGUCGCCUCCUAGUAAACACGAUUAAUUCGGGUCGUGUACCAGUGAGCAAAAAUAAUAAUUAGCAAUUGAAGGUUGUUUCUCUAAUUAUCUUUGCAACACAUCUUUAUUUAUGUUUACCACAAUGUUGUAAAUAAAACAAAAUAAUAUAUAAAAAACCAGUCAUGGGUCUUAUGACCCACUCUAGCCUGCUAAAGCAUAGCCUCUGAGAACUGUUUCAAACGCAGCGGUGACGGCGUAAGUAAAAUGGGCUUGCAGUACAGAAAAAAAGCACAACCUUCGAGACUCACAAUUACUUUCACGGUCGUUUGCGGUUUUGAUGCUCGUAGUACAGUGGUUGGUUUGUGGCUUUCGCAUUUACUUCGACUUUGGAUACGCAACUGUGAAAAGCGCGGCAGCGGUAGCAGCGGUUAGUCCUCAGAAUCCGAAACCACGGCGGCGGUUCUUUAUUCCAUGAUGGCGGCAAGCCUGCGACCGUCGAAACGCGAGUGGGAUUUUCCUCUUGCGUCCGUUGCGCCUGUGAUACCCGACAACUGUAGCAGCAUGUCAUCUGAUCCGACUUCAACUGAAGGCUCGCCGACUGAUGCGGAAGCAGUUUACUUCGUUUCGCAUGGGCCACCAAAGAAAAUUGUGAAGUUCACAGGCGCCCGGAAGCUCGCCGACCUUCACGAAAGUGUGCGGAUGGGUGGGUUCGCGCACCGGAUGACAUGCAACGAUCUCCUAAUACAGCAUGCUGGAAGCUGCACAGGGGAGUUGGCAAGGGGGCACAAGGAAGCAAUGCCCCGUUGCUGUCCGUAGGGUGAACGCAAGGCGGCUCGUGGCAGCCGCAAUUUCUACGCUGCGCUUUUCAUCUCUGAAGCCAUGCGCAGCAGCGUGCAGUCGUCAUGUUUAGAAAAGCAGUGCAAAGGUACCCGAAUAAGCUGUACAACAUUGCUGCAAGGUGCCUUGGUAAACCAGUACCCAGCCCUGAGGAACAGAUUGGACUCUGGCUAUAUGCAAAAGGCGUGAGCGCCAUCAUGGUUGUACCAUUUCUUGUCAAUGAGCAAGGGGACGACAUGUUCACAAAAAUGACGCCAGGACAGGAGUUUGCCCACGCCACAUUGCUGUACACUGGCGACAACCGCAUCUCUUCCAAGGCCCUGUGUGUGAAGUGUGGAUAUGUAUGUGUAGAUGUAUUGGACUUCACUUCCGGUGUAACGGGGUUAUUUUUAUUUUCCAUGUACUGGGGCUUUCAACAUCGAAUACAUCAGCUCUGCGGAGCAGACACUCUCAUUGCUGCAACACAUGAUUGAAACGAAAACGACAAAACUAGGCGCCAAGUCCCAACAGCUUUAAUAGCACGGUUAACUGCUACAACUAACAAAAUCACAGCCAGUGCUGAGCAGGCUGAGAAAUCUGACUAAGCUACUAAAGUCAUCUUGAAAUGCACCUUCCUGUAUGCACUUAGCCUUUUUUGUUUCUUUUUUUUAACGCUCAGGCUAUUUUGGUGUUCGUAGCCUUGGAUUAUGCAGCUGAGUAAUACUGCCAAUAGCUAGUCAAACCUCGAAAACUUUAUUGUGUUUAAAUGUUAUUCAUAGUUUUUGUAUUGUGGGACAUAAAGCAAACACUCACCAAUAAUAUUUUAAAAAAUAGUGAAAUUACAAGAAAUUGUAUUUCGGAGCCAGUAUGGGUCCUUUGUUCCCAAAUGACAGCAGAGGCAAUGGUUUGGUUCUGUACAGGUGAGAUGGCGGAGAGCGCAUGCAUAGAUGACAGGCAGAUUAUCGUGUGACCUUCCUAUCGCUUAGCACGUCAUCUGAAUAUGCAGUGAUUAUAGUAGUAAUUGCAUCGCUAAUAUUGCAGUGGCUAUUAUCGAUGCCUAGUGCUAGUGUAUAGAAGGCCCUGUUUUCUCUUGGUGUUCGGAUAAUGCGUCGGAAAUAAGGUUGCUUUUAAAGAGCUAGUGCUUAUCCUGCUUUGGGUGCUUCUUAACGUUGCCAGAUUGACAGUGAAUUACAUUUUUUGCAUGUGAAUAUGUACAUGGAGCCAAGUUAGUUCAAUCUUCCAAAGGGGUCCUUCAUGUACACCAGUUCAUCACAUAGCUUGCUGGAAGGGACAUGUGCCACCCAACCAUUGCAGUCAUUCAACACUCUGGCAAAAGUCUCGCUCAUGCCACAUGCAUACAGGAUGGUAGCACGCUUGCUUUUCUUGCUUACCACUUAGCGGAUGGGCGCUGAGGCACGAUGUUCUUGCUCACUUGGCAGUUUUAGCGGCUGGCCAUUACAUUGCGUGUCAUUUAGCAUCAAGAUCAACUCUGCUUUUUGCCUUGUAUGACUUGAGCAAAGACCGAAAAGCGAGGUUACUAGUGAUGAGGCGGCCAACCUUUGUGGCCCUUGUGGUGUACAGAAAGAACAUCUAGGUAUUUUGACAUGUGUGGGUUUGCGAUGAACCCUCGUGGCAAGGCCAUUGGUGAUUCGUUCCUUGAGAACAUCAAUGGAUGCAGUGUACCUCUUCUCUCAGGCUCUUCGUGUGCUGUAAACUGAUGCUUUCCUUACAAAGUUAAGUGCUUUUUGUGAUUGCUAUAUGUACUCUCACUAAAGGUCACUGUGAUGUGCGCAUAUUUUAUUGAAUAAAAUUUGUACAUGUUUU